rnacentral:rRNA from 1 species
UACGUAGGGGGCGAGCGUUGUCCGGAAUUAUUGGGCGUAAAGAGCUCGUAGGCGGCUUGUUGCGUCCGCUGUGAAAGCCCGGGGCUUAACCCCGGGUCUGCAGUGGAUACGGGCAGGCUAGAGGUAGGUAGGGGAGAAUGGAAUUCCUGGUGUAGCGGUGAAAUGCGCAGAUAUCAGGAAGAACACCCGUGGCUAAGGCGGCUCUCUAGUACGGUACUGACGCUGAGACGCGAAAGCGUGGGGAGCGAACAGG